rnacentral:rRNA from 1 species
ACGUAGGGGGCAAGCGUUGUCCGGAGUUACUGGGCGUAAAGCGCACGCAGGCGGUUUCGUACGUCUGGAGUGACAGUUCCCGGCUCAACUGGGAAAGGUCUUUGGAAACGGCGAGACUUGAGGGCUUCAGAGGGACACGGAAUUCCGGGUGGAGUGGUGAAAUGCGUAGAGAUCCGGAGGAACACCAAUGGCGAAGGCAGUGUCCUGGGAAGCAUCUGACGCUCAGGUGCGAAAGCUAGGGGAGCGAGCA